UCGAAUAUAGGUUAAAACGGGUAAAAAUUGGAACGAUAUACAGAAGAUAAGCAUGACCCCUACAGAAGAAUGACACACACAAAUUGAAAAAUUGUCCAAUUUUUU